rnacentral:misc_RNA from 1 species
AAUUUCUGUCACUGAGAGCGGUGCGGUACGCAUCGAGGCAGCAGUCGUUUUGUGCCCUACGCGUAGACCCCCCCCCAAACACACACACACACACGAAACCCCUGCACGCGGGGGGAGGGCGGAGUACACGUAAUCACACAAGUUGCACUUCGUAGCACUAUACAUAAAUAUAUAUCUGUGCCUUGUUCGCCUGCUGCCCUCCGAGCACACCACCCUUUCACCCUUCCCCCUCCUCCUCCCUGAGUUCGAAGAGUGAGAGGAGACGGAGGGGCUCCACAUUAGCCGCUGGCAACAAGUCUCUCCGUUUGUACGUCUGUACGUGUGCGUGUGUGUGUGUGUGUGUGUGGCAGGCUUUGUGCAGGGGAGGGGGUUCAGCUGCACCGUAGGGGUGUGGUCGUCCGCCACUCAUGAAAUCCUUGGCCAGGGAGUUCAGGGAGCUCGAGGCGACGAGCCAACUCCCGCCGUCUACACCGCAGCAGUGCCUCACACCGUCCACUGUACUCUUACCUGCUGCUGUCGGUACGGUGCCGCCGCAGCUGAGCCCGUUCGUCGCCAGCACCGCAGCGGCGUUGUCUCCGCAAGCGUCUAUACAGAUGCGCAUGGCGCCGCUUCUGGGUCUCAGCUCUUUCCCUAGAUCGCCGCUGCACAACGGCAGCACGACAUUGCAGACGACUAACGAUGGCUGCCCGGACGCCCGCGCGGACCGCGUUGGCAGUAGAAGCUGUUCGGUCAUCAAUUUGUUCGACUGGCCCUCACCUCCGACUCCGUCCGUCGCGCUGCGCAUCGGUGGCGGCAGUCGUGACAGCGACCCGUCAGGUACCACACACGCUCACGCCGCACCCGCCUCCCGCAGCGCCGACGAAGACUCAGCGCUUGGCCCUCUCACCUCCUCCUCCUCCACCGCAACGACGCGCCUGUCGCAGGGCACGCCGGAGAACUCGUUCAUGAUGAACACCACCUCGGCGCACCAGUCCAAUGCCGAGGAAGCAACGUCGGCGACGGCCACAGCCAACAGAACGGGUAGCGGUAGUUGGCGCAGAAGCCGCUCCGACGCCCGCUUGGACAGGGACCAACGCUGCUCGACGACCCCGCCCUACCCACAAGUACAAGCGCACCACCAACAGCCGCUCCCAGCGUGUGACGCAUCGUUGGCGUGGGUAUCGACGCUUGCGUGUGAUCCCAGCGGCCUCAGCACACUGGGCGUCGGCGGCGCAGCGUCGCAACCGGGACCUGUGCACCACUACGCGCCGCCCUUCCCUUCCUUUGCAGAAGGCGUGUGUGCCCUCUACCCUCUUACGAGCGUCAUGGAGCCCACAGCACCGGCACCAGCAGCAGCCCCAUCGAUCCCGUCAAGGGCAGCAUCGCGCGAGCAAGUGAACAGUGGACCGCCUUCGAUGGCCGCCAAGCACGAAACUCUUCAUCAGGCGCCAGGGCAGCCGCAGACGCCUCUUUCCACCACCACCGUCACUGCGUCGCCGAUGUCGCCGACGACUGCGCCCGUGCAGCUGUCGCUGCAAGAAAAGCUGCUGAUUUCGGCACCUCUGCCCCCGAGGAGCGGCCGUGGCACGCCGUCAUCGACGCCUCGCGUCGCACCAUCACCACCGCAACGUCGCUGUAGCUCGGCAACGAACCCGUUCAUCAGCACGGUCGGUGUGAAGCCCAACGCCGGCAAGAGCAGACGAGGAAGCUCCACCACCACUGCCGCGGCUGCAGCAGCAAUGGCAGCCGCAUUCACCUCAAGCCAGCUUGCGCCCUCGCCUGCAGCGCCGGCUACGGCCACACCGCCAUCACCGCCGCCUUGCAUGCGCCUCAGAAGCACCGGUAACGGAACCAUUGCGUACAGCAAUCCCAACAGCACGAGCGUGUGCAGUAUUCUGAGCACCGUUGCCUUUGUCCCCAUCGAGGUGCAGCCGGCCAUCCCCUCCGCCUCUCCCUCUUUCCUUGCGACCAGCCCGUGCCAAUCACCCGCCAACGCAGCCGUCAGCGCCAGUGACUCUGGGACUUUCAUCUCCGGUGUGGCAGCCGCGUCGGCACCUCCGACGUUCGACCGAAGGCUCUCCGCCGCGAGCGCCGUACCCUACACGCCCUCCGUGCCGAAGAUGGCCGCACUUGAGCAGCCAGGCCAAGCCUCUGCUGGCCCGCGAGCGUCGGCGACGCCACCGCUGCAGCGGAACCCCGCCUUCCCCACGGCGCAGCCAGUUCAGAACCCGGCGCACUGGUCGGUCCCAUGCACACCGGCGGUGCCCAUGACAGUCUUCCUCGCAGCCCCAGAGAUGGGCUGGCACUCCUUGACGGGCGGCGUGACGACCCCGCCGGCGAGUAGCGUCGGCGUCGCCAUACCUGACCCGUGCAGCCAGAACUUCUUUGUUGGCUGCGGCGUUCGGGGCACGGGGGCGUCCAUCUUGGAUGGCUGCUCGUCGACUGCCUCCAUCGCGGCGCCGCUGGCCACGUCGCCGGCGUCAUCGGCAGCACUCGAUUCGCAGCGCACAAGCGGCAGCCGUGGUGCUACGUGGACGUCGGCGGGACAGACGUACCGGAAUGUGCUCGUCUAUGGAGGUGGUGGCACCAGCGGUCAUGGCAGUGGAUGCGCCACGGCCGUCACAGCAUCGGGGAACAGCCACAGCCUUGGUCUUCCCCUCUACUCCUCACAGCCGCAGCUUCUCUGCACGCCGGUGCCGCUCGACGACACGGAGAGCGUAUGUGCGAUUUGUCUAGAGGGCCGCGUGUCGAAGACCGGAACGACGGAGACGAGAGAGACGACAGCGCUGCCAUCGGCACCUCUGCAACUGCCGCAUGCGGCGGAGGAGGGGGCAAGCCAGGAAAGGGACAGCGCCGCAGCAGUGAUGAGCGAUACGAUGCCAGCCGACGAAGGAGCCGAGCGUGGGGCCGUGCGCGGUGUCAAGCCCGGCUCCUGCCUCCUCUCGCUUCCUUGCGGUCACUGCUACCACCAAAACUGCGUGCAGCGGUGGCUGAUGGAGUCGCAGAGCUGUCCCACCUGCCGCCGCGACCUCACGCGCGACGCCACCAUCAACUGAUCAGAGAGAAGCGGAAGGAAACAGACGGAUGCACGGUACUCGUGAGGGCACGCUGAUCCGCUGGGGCGUACGGAAACGAUCACGGCGGCAUGUCAAACGGAGGACGGAUGCAGGGUCUCUCUCAUCCUCCUCCAUGCACCCCGCUCCUGCACUUCCAGAAAGCAGAGCACAGCCGUCGGCGUGUGUGUGUGUGUAUUGUGUGUACUGUAUGUGUUGGCGUGGGUGCCGUCUCCUGGUGGCAGGCUCGUAGGUGUCGCGGCACAUGGGGGGAGGGGGCACACAUCCUGGCACUGUUCUUUCUAUGCUUUGUGGCUCGGUGAUGUCGUCCAAGCGUGCACACACACAUAUAUAAGCAAGCACAGGAGGUGGUCGCUUGCCAUCCAGUCCUGCCGCCUGCGCUGUCUCCCGUUGCAACGGUCGUGCCUGGUCGUCAUCUCUCUGGUGUGUACCCUCGCCGUCUGCACGCACAGAGAGGUAUGCUUCUCCCUCCUCCUCUCGAUACACACGCAUGCACGCAUACGCAUACGGCCACGACAGCUCAUGGAUACCCCCUACCGACUCCUCCUCUCUCCUCUCUAUGCGCGCAG